ACUGUCUAAUUAAAACAAAGCAUUGCGAUGGCCGCUGGUCGGUGUUGACGCAAUGUGAUUUCUGCCCAGUGCUCUGAAUGUCAACGUGAAGAGAUUCAUCAAAGCGCGGGUAAACGGCGGGAGUAACUAUGACUCUCUUGUCAGGUGGCCGCUGCGCCCAGCCUAACCCAUCCUGCGAGGGCUCAUGAUGCACUGUCUGAGCUGGUUUCCGAAAGGACUCCCACCGGAGUUAAUGACGAUGGGGGCAGAGUGGAGCUUGCCCAGAGACAGAACGGAACGGGGAAAUGGAAAAG
rnacentral:ncRNA from 1 species